rnacentral:rRNA from 1 species
AGCACGGAGCUUGCUCUGGUGGCGAGUGGCGAACGGGUGAGUAAUAUAUCGGAACGUACCCUGGAGUGGGGGAUAACGUAGCGAAAGUUACGCUAAUACCGCAUACGAUCUACGGAUGAAAGUGGGGGAUCGCAAGACCUCAUACUCGUGGAGCGGCCGAUAUCUGAUUAGCUAGUUGGUAGGGUAAAAGCCUACCAAGGCAUCGAUCAGUAGCUGGUCUGAGAGGACGACCAGCCACACUGGAACUGAGACACGGUCCAGACUCCUACGGGAGGCAGCAGUGGGGAAUUUUGGACAAAGGGCGAAAGCCUGAUCCAGCAAUGCCGCGUGAGUGAAGAAGGCCUUCGGGUUGUAAAGCUCUUUUGUCAGGGAAGAAACGGUGAGAGCUAAUAUCUCUUGCUAAUGACGGUACCUGAAGAAUAAGCACCGGCUAACUACGUGCCAGCAGCCGCGGUAAUACGUAGGGUGCAAGCGUUAAUCGGAAUUACUGGGCGUAAAGCGUGCGCAGGCGGUUUUGUAAGUCUGAUGUGAAAUCCCCGGGCUCAACCUGGGAAUUGCAUUGGAGACU